rnacentral:rRNA from 1 species
GCCUACGGGGGGCAGCAGUAGGGAAUAUUGCUCGAUGGGGGAAACCCUGAAGCAGCAACGCCGCGUGGAGGAUGAAGGUUUUCGGAUUGUAAACUCCUUUUGUUAGAGAAGAUAAUGACGGUAUCUAACGAAUAAGCACCGGCUAACUCCGUGCCAGCAGCCGCGGUAAUACGGAGGGUGCAAGCGUUACUCGGAAUCACUGGGCGUAAAGAGCGCGUAGGCGGGAUAGCAAGUCAGAUGUGAAAUCCUAUGGCUUAGCCAUAGAACUGCAUUUGAAACUGUUAUUCUAGAGUAUGGGAGAGGUA